UGAGUGGCGGACGGGUGAGUAACGCGUGGGCAACCUGGCCUGUACAGGGGGAUAACACUUAGAAAUAGGUGCUAAUACCGCAUAACGGGAGAAGCCGCAUGGCUUUUCCUGAAAACUCCGGUGGUACAGGAUGGGCCCGCGUCUGAUUAGCCAGUUGGCAGGGUAACGGCCUACCAAAGCGACGAUCAGUAGCCGGCCUGAGAGGGCGGACGGCCACACUGGGACUGAGACACGGCCCAGACUCCUACGGGAGGCAGCAG
rnacentral:rRNA from 1 species